rnacentral:rRNA from 1 species
AACGAACGCUGGCGGCAGGCUUAACACAUGCAAGUCGAACGCCCCGCAAGGGGAGUGGCAGACGGGUGAGUAACGCGUGGGAACAUACCCCUUUCUACGGAAUAGCUCUGGGAAACUGGAAUUAAUACCGUAUACGCCCUACGGGGGAAAGAUUUAUCGGGGAAGGAUUGGCCCGCGUUGGAUUAGCUAGUUGGUGGGGUAAAGGCCUACCAAGGCGACGAUCCAUAGCUGGUCUGAGAGGAUGAUCAGCCACAUUGGGACUGAGACACGGCCCAAACUCCUACGGGAGGCAGCAGUGGGGAAUAUUGGACAAUGGGCGCAAGCCUGAUCCAGCCAUGCCGCGUGAGUGAUGAAGGCCUUAGGGUUGUAAAGCUCUUUCACCGAUGAAGAUAAUGACGGUAGUCGGAGAAGAAGCCCCGGCUAACUUCGUGCCAGCAGCCGCCGUAAUAC